UUAAAGACUACGCGUAGAAGAGUAGUUAUCAGGAAUGUUCAAAGGGAGCCCUGAUUAGUGAGACGGGGUAACUGAACUGAUAAUGAAAGUAAUCUACAAGUCGUGGCCGCGACGGAAUUCCGAAGUGGCCGCUGGGAGUGCGCCCAUUACAGCAAUGAAGUAUCGUCAGCGGAUUGCGCAUCCGAUUGACUGUACUUUCUAAGCUGACCAUCGUGAGGUGGUCAGAAAACAAGGUGGUAACGCGUGAAAACGUCCUUAGC
rnacentral:ncRNA from 1 species